AAUGAACGUUGGCGGCGUGGAUUAGGCAUGCAAGUCGUGCGAGAAGUCUUUUGCUUGCAUUAGACGGAAAGCGGCGAAAGGGAGAGUAACGCGUGGAUACCUACCUUCAGGCUCGGGAUAGCUGCGGGAAACUGCAGGUAAUACCGAAUAACAUCUCCGGAUCAAAGGUGUGAUUCCGCCUGGAGACGGAUCCGCGUCCUAUUAGCUUGUUGGUGGGGUAACGGCCUACCAAGGCGACGAUGGGUACCGGGCGUGAGAGCGUGACCCGGCUCACUGGGACUGAGACACUGCCCAGACCACCGUACGGGAGGCUCG
rnacentral:rRNA from 1 species